GUUUCUGUUGCCCAAUGGAUAAAGCCUUGGCCUCCAAGGCCAAAGAUUGUGAGUUCAUGUCCCACCAGGGAUG
rnacentral:tRNA from 1 species